CCGAGAUGACCCACCAAUGAGUGUAGGCAGCCUAUAUCCUAAUAUGGAGCAAUUUAAGUUGGCACUUUCUCAACAUGCUAUCAAACAUGAGUUUGAGUAUGACACUAAAAAGAGUGAUCCAGGAAGAUUGAGGGCUUAUUGUUCAAGGAAGGAAGAAAAAGGGUGUAGGUGGAGGUUGCAUGCUUCUACAAUUAAGGGUGAAAAAACUGUAAAGGUGAAGAAGAACCCACCGUGACAUAUAUGUUCUAGUGCAAGAAGAAGCAAGGUUGUAAAGAAUACAACAAAAUUUUGGAACUGUGAACAGGUGAAGGAUUGACUAAUGGAGGAUUCAAGUUUGAAAGCUAAAGAAUUACAAAGGAGGAUAAAGGAUAGGCACAAGAUAGAGAUUCCCUACAAGAGAGUGUAUGCAGGUAAAGAAUUGGCACAUACAUAAUUAUUUGCUAGUUGGGACAAUAGUUUCAACAACCUUUACAGGUUUAAGGCUGAGAUGGAGAGGUGCUGUCGUGGAAGUUUUGUUGUCAUUGAUCAUCAUAAAGUUGAUGGGAAAAUCAGAUUUAAUAGGUUGUUUUUUGCUAUGAAACCAUGCAUAGAAGGCUUUCUCAAAGGAUGCACGCUUACUUGGCAAUAGAUAGCAUAUUUUUUACAGGAAUGUUCAGGGGGCAGCUGUCAUGUGCAGUAGCUGUAGAUGGACACAACUGGAUGUAUCCAAUUGCUGUUGGAGUGAUGGACUCAUAGACAAAUGAAAAUUGGAUCUGGUUUAUGCAAAAUCUUAGAGAUGCCAUUGGAUCACCUGAAGGCUUAGCUAUAUGUACACAUGCUGGACAAGGAGUGAUGAUGGGAGUUAAGGAAGUGUUCCUAGCUGCAGAACAUAGGGAAUGCAUGCUACAUUUGGUGAUGAACUUCAAGAAAAGAUAUACAGAAAAGAUAUUUGAGGACCUUCUUUUGGCAGCAGCAUAUUCAUGGUCUCCAUACUUCUUUGAGAAGCAUUGGAAUGCCAUGGAUGAAGAAAAUCCAGAAGCAAUGAAUUAUAUAAAGCAAUGUCAUACUAAGAUAUGGGCAAGAAGUCAAUUUUGGACCCAUUGCAAGGUUGACUAUGUCACAAACAACUUGGUAGAAUGCUUAAACAAUUGGGUAAAGAAGUACAAGGGUUUUAAUUUGGAUGACUUUAUAGACAUGAUUAGGCAACUUAUUAUGGAUAAGUGGCAUUUUAGAAGGGAUGUCUCAGCAAAGAAUGAAGGGGUCAUUUUGCCACACAUCAUAAAGGAGUUGAGGGAGCAAAGCAGGAACUUGGAUAUGGAUGUCCAUACAAGUGAAGAUAUUCUUGGAGAGGUGGGUGUUAAGGGUGGCAGUGGCUACAAAUGUAUUGUCAAUCUAGAAGAAAGAACUUGUUCGUGCAGGAAAUGACAAGUAUCAGGGAUUCCUUGCAAACAUGCCAUUGCAUUUAUCACAUAUCUUAGGGAACCUCUAAAGAAAUAUGUUGACAACUAUUAUUUAGUCGAUAAAUUCAAAGCUGCUUAUGAGUCUCUCAUUCCUGCCAUGCCUCACAAAGCACAAUGGCCACAAUCUGAUCACGGUUUUUUCAUGCAUCCACCACUCAUAAAAUCUACAGUGGGUAGAAGAUAGAACCAGAGGUUCAAAGGUUGUACAGAAGGCAGCACAACAAGAACGAAUGGGUCACAUCAGUGCAAAAUUUGCAAGAAAUAUGGCCAUCGCUGGUAUAAGUGCAAGGAAGGUGACCUUGAGGACAUAGUAGCUAUGCUAGCUGAAAAGGGUCCACCAAAGAAAACAAAGAAAAUCAUUGAGCCAUCUUGUGAGAGUAGCAUUGUACCUGUUGGUCUAACACCUAAGACAAUGAAUUUUCCUCCCGUAUUCUGUUUUUUUUCCAAAGGCAUAUGGCAUUUCAUUCAUUCCUAAUAUUACAUUUGUAUUACAGCUAAAGUACGUCGGUUAGCUUAGGAUUUAGAAACUCUCUCAGGUCCGGAAGUGGCUUAAACUAACUUGAGCUACUUCCUGCACGUGAGAAAACACCACCACCUGCCACCUCCAAGCCUAGGGAGAAGAAAGCUAAAGGGAAGGCAAAGGCAGCAGGGAAAAAAUUAAAAAAAGUUUCAGUGCCACAUGAUAGUCCUGCAAUGAGUACUAGGAGCAAGACCCCUCAACAAGACAGCCCUACCUCUCGUACCAAAGGCAAAAGAAAGCUUCCACUUACUGAUCUGAACUAGUGUUGAUGCAGUUUCUUUUGUGUGUCACUUCCUAUUUUGGUUGGUCUUUGUGACACCAAACCUAGUGUUCUUUUGCUAAGCUUAUUUCAACUAGUAGUUGCUGUUACUCAACCUAUAUAGCUGCUUGUAUGGAAGCAAUGGCUGAUUGCAAGGAUGCUUGUAUGGACAUCAAUGACUACUUGUAUGGCUGCUUGUAUGUACAGCAUUGUUGCUUGUAUGGACA